rnacentral:rRNA from 1 species
UACGUAGGCAGCGAGCGUUGUUCGGAAUUAUUGGGCGUAAAGCGCGUGUAGGCGGCUUUGCAAGUCGGGUGUGAAAGCCCUCAGCUCAACUGAGGAAGUGCGCCCGAAACUGCAGAGCUUGAGUGCCGGAGAGGGUGGCGGAAUUCCCCAAGUAGAGGUGAAAUUCGUAGAUAUCGGGAGGAACACCGGUGGCGAAGGCGGCGACCUGGGUCGAGACUGACGCUGAGGCGCGAAAGCGUGGGGAGCAAACAGG